CCGGUAUUGGCCUGGUAUCAGCCUGAUAUUGGCCUGGUGUUGGUCUGGUAUUGACCAGGUAUUGGCCCGGUAUUGGUCUGGUAUUGGUCUGGUAUUGGUCUGGUAUUGGGCUGGUAUUGGUCUGGUAUUGGCCCGGUAUUGGUCUGGUAUUGGGCUGGUAUUGGGCUGGUAUUGGUCCAGUAUUGGGCUGGUAUUGGGCUGGUAUUGGGCUGGUAUUGGUCCAGUAUUGGUCCAGUAUUGGGCUGGUAUUGGUCUGGUAUUGGCCCCAUAUUGGCCUGGUAUUGGUCCGGUAUUGAUCCGGCCCCAGCCUGGCAUUGAUCAGGCAUCAGUCCUGGCCUCAGCCUGGUAUUGAUCAGGCAUCAGUCCUGGCCUGGCCUCAGCCUGGCAUUGAUCAGGCAUCAGUCCCAACCUCAGUCUGGCAUUGAUCAGGUAUCAAUCCGGCCCCAGCCUGGCAUUGAUCAGGCAUCAGUCCUGGUCCCAGCCUGGCAUUGAUCAGGUAUCGAUCCGGCCUCAGCCUGGCAUUGAUCCGGCAUCAGUCCCAACCUCAGCCUGGCAUUGAUCCGGCAUCAGUCCCGGCCCCAGCCUGGCAUUGAUCAGGCAUCGAUCCGGCCUCAGCCUGGCAUUGAUCAGGCAUCAGUCCCGGCCUCAGCCUGGCAUUGAUCCGGUAUUGAUCCGGCCCCAGCCUGGCAUUGAUCAGGCAUCAGUCCCAAUCUCAGCCUGGCAUUGGUCCGGUAUUGAUCCGGCCUCAGCCUGGCAUUGAUCAGGCAUCAGUCCCGGCCUCAGCCUGGCAUUGAUCCGGCAUUGAUCCUGCCUCAGCCUGGCAUUGAUCCGGCAUUGAUCCGGCCCCAGCCUGGCAUUGAUCAGGCAUCAGUCCCAACCUCAGCCUGGCAUUGAUCAGGCACAAGUCCCGGCCCCAGCCUGGCAUUGAUCCGGUAUCGAUCCAGCCCCAGCCUGGUAUUGAUCAGGCAUCGAUCCGGCCCCAGCCUGGCAUUGAUCCGGCAUCAGUCCUGGCCCCAGCCUGGCAUUGAUCAGGUAUCGAUCCGGUAUCGAUCCGGCCCCAGCCUGGCAUUGAUCCAGCAUUGAUCCGGUAUUGAUCCGGCCCCAGCCGGGCACUGCCCCGCUCCCGUUCCAUGUCGGGGAUUAAACGAGGUUUGUCCCGGAA